rnacentral:misc_RNA from 1 species
UCCCCGUUACCGGGGCAGUCUAGCUAGAGAAAUUCAACUAACUAUAAGGGUUGCGCUCGUUAAUGGACUUAACCAAACAUCUCACGACACGAGCUGACGACGGCCAUGCAACACCUGUCACUGCGGCCCGAAGGCACGUCUGCCUUUCGGCAAACUUGGCAGGAUGUCAAACCCUGGUAAGGUUCUUCGCUUAUCGUCGAAUUAAACAACACGCUCCACCGCUUGUGCGGGUCCCCGUCAAUUCCUUUAUGUUUUAAGCUUGCGCUCGUACUCCACAGGCGGGAUGCUUAACGCGUUAGCUUCGCUACUACAAGGGUCGAUACUCGUAACAGCUAGCAUCCAUCGUUUACGGCGUGGACUAC